rnacentral:rRNA from 1 species
UACGUAGGGUGCAAGCGUUGUCCGGAAUUAUUGGGCGUAAAGAGCUCGUAGGCGGCUUGUCGCGUCGGCUGUGAAAACCUGGGGCUCAACCCCGGGCCUGCAGCCGAUACGGGCAAGCUAGAAUUCGGUAGGGGAGACUGGAAUUCCUGGUGUAGCGGUGGAAUGACGCAGAGUAUCAGGAGGAACACCUAUAGCGAAGGCAGCUUGCUGGGACGUUACUGACGCUAAGGCGCGAAAGCGUGGGGAGCGAACGAGGA